GGGACUGACUUGGAUUUGACUGCAAGAUGCGUUAAAUAGUAAGCAUGUCGAGCAUUGUUUUUUGGCUCGUAAAAAUCAAGAUUCAACUUUUUUAAUUGGCGAAAAUAAUUACGCUUUAGCUGCAUAAUUGAUAUAAUUACGUAUGCUUUUGUCUCUGUAUAAGGAUCUCCUGAUUCCUUUAACUAUUGAGGCAUCAUUAAUUUCAGGAUAAUUAAUCUAUUUCUUCUGUAGGUUAGUGAAAAUUUAGAAGAUAAGAAUUAGGAUUGGUUGCUUUUUCCCUACCUUUUUUCGAAAACUAAAAUCAGAUAAACAUGUAGAAAUCUUUUUAAUUCCUUGUUAGGACGUGGGUUCGAAACCCACCAGUUCCACU
rnacentral:tmRNA from 1 species